AUGAACCCCUCCUCGGCUCCAGGGACGGAUGGACUGCCAGUGAUGUUUUUCAAAACAUUCUGGCAAACCAUCAAGCCGGAGGUCAUGGCCCUCUUCGACGAAUUCUUCUUGGGGACCAUGGACCUUGGGCGCCUGAACUAUCGGGUCAUCACCCUCAUCCCCAAAGUUUCGGAUGCUUCGGAUAUUUGCCAAUUCCGGCCUAUCACUAUGAUCAAUGUGAUAUUCCAGAUCCUGGCCAAAGGGUGCGCCAUUAGGGUGACCCUUUUGGCUGAUGAUGUUACUCACCCCAACCAAUCCACCUUCAUUCAAGGGCGGUUUAUUUUCGAUGGGGUCUUAGUCUUCCACGAAGUCCUUCACGAAUUCCGAGCCAAACACCAUCGGGCGGUCGUCUUGAAGCUUGACUUCCACAAGGCAUAUGAUACGGUCCACUCGCCCUUCCUUCGGGAAGUCCUGCUCCGCAAGGGUUUCGAUGAUCGGUCGGUGACCAGAGUGAUCCAACUCGUUUGCUGCGGUCGGUGA
rnacentral:rRNA from 1 species